rnacentral:rRNA from 1 species
GGAGGGUCCAAGCGUUAUCCGGAAUCAUUGGGUUUAAAGGGUCCGUAGGCGGAAUAAUAAGUCAGUGGUGAAAGUCUGCAGCUCAACUGUAGAAUUGCCAUUGAUACUGUUAUUCUUGAAUUAUUAUGAAGUGGUUGGAAUGAGUAGUGUAGCGGUGAAAUGCAUAGAUAUUACUCAGAACACCUAUUGCGAAGGCAGAUCACUAAUAAUAUAUUGACGCUGAGGGACGAAAGCGUAGGUAGCGAACAGGAUUAGAUACCCUGGUAGUCUACGCCCGUAAACGAUGGUUACUAGCUGUCCGGCCCUAAUUGAGGGCUGGGUGGUUAAGCGAAAGUGAUAAGUAACCCCACCUGGGAGUACGUUCGCAAGAAUG